CCUACGGGUGGCAGCAGUGGGGAAUAUUGGUCAAUGGGCGCGAGCCUGACCCAGCAACGCAGCGUGAAGGAAGACUGCCCUCCGGUUUUUAACCUCUUUUAACAGGGACGUAGAAAGUGACGGUACCUGUUUAAUAAGCCACGGCUAAGUACGUGCCAGCAGCCGCUGUAAUACGUAGGUGGCAAGCGUUAUCCGGAUUUAAUGGUGGUAAGGGGAGUGUAGGCGGGAGAGUAAGUCAGAAGUGAAAUUCCAGGGCUCAACCCUGAAAUUGCGUUUGAAACUGUUAUUCUUGAGUGCAGGGGAGGCAGGCGGAAUUCGGGGUGUAGCGGUGAAAUGCGUAGAUAUAACGAGGAACACCGGUGGCGAAGGCAGCCUGCUAAACAUUAACUGACGCUGAGGCGCGAAAGCGUGGGGAGCAAACAGGAUUAGAUACCCUGGUAGUC
rnacentral:rRNA from 1 species